CGGUGGACUUGACAGCGGGCGA
rnacentral:miRNA from 1 species